UUGGAGAGUACGCCCCCCUCCUCCCCGUCGCCGCAGCCGAGAAAACACCUGGUCUGCGUGCGCGCCAUCCGCCCCGCGCCAAUCACGCCGGUCUGCAGAUAUGCCCACCUGGCGCCGCGCUCGAGCACGCGCCCGCCGCCGCCGAGCGCGGCCAGCGUGCUCGCACACCUGGCAUUGGCGACCAGCUCCCCCGUGCCGGUGGAGCACUGGCCCUCCCCGCCGCACAUCCGCAGGAGGGAAGACGCCAGCCCCCUCCUCCGAAGCACCGACCUCGCGCACGGCAGCAUCGCGGAGGCUCCUCUGGGCGCGAUCCGGCCGUCAACGGCGGGAAAGGGGAACCCUAGAUUCGGGAAGCGUCUAGGGGCGGUGCCGGCGUCGCCGGAGAAAGCGCU
rnacentral:misc_RNA from 1 species